rnacentral:rRNA from 1 species
GGAAACGACUGCUAAUACCCAAUGUGCCGAAAGGUGAAAAUUUUUUGCCUGAAGAGGAGCUCGCGUCUGAUUAGCUAGUUGGUGGGGUAAAAGCCUACCAAGGCAACGAUCAGUAGCUGGUCUGAGAGGAUGAGCAGCCACACUGGGACUGAGACACGGCCCAGACUCCUACGGGAGGCAGCAGUGGGGAAUUUUCCGCAAUGGGCGAAAGCCUGACGGAGCAAUACCGCGUGAGGGAGGAAGGCCUUUGGGUUGUAAACCUCUUUUCUCAGGGAAGAAGAUCUGACGGUACCUGAGGAAUAAGCAUCGGCUAACUCCGUGCCAGCAGCCGCGGUAAUACGGAGGAUGCAAGCGUUAUCCGGAAUUAUUGGGCGUAAAGCGUCCGCAGGUGGUUUUUCAAGUCUGCUGUCAAAGACCAGAGCUUAACUCUGGGCCGGCGGUGGAAACUGAGAAACUAGAGUUCGGUAGGGGUAGCGGGAAUUCCCAGUGUAGCGGUGAAAUGCGUAGAUAUUGGGAAGAACAUCGGUGGCGAAGGCGCGCUACUGGACCGAAACUGACACUCAGGGACGAAAGCUAGGGUAGCGAAAGGGAUUAGAUACCC